AGGUCACCGAGUCUUUCCCUCCAAGCUCCACAUCAGCCCAGGGUUGCUUGAAACUCUGACAACCUGGCCUGAGAUUUUGAAGUGCAAAACCUGCUCUCUUUUCGUCACAAUCCCUGUAAUGAAUUGAGGUAUACAAAGCUGGUCAUACAAUACGUAGCAGCAGCGCGGAGAAAGACUCUUAGGGAAGAGUUUCCAUAGAAACACUGACGUCCUGCCCUGCUAACAGGACAUCGAGUUCCUUGAACGGGAGGAUGAUAUACUGCUUGCGUGUCUUUUUGUUAAAGGUGAUGUUCUAUGCAGGGCCGCGGUGCCUAGAAGCCCCAGCGAAGAAUGUGCUAGGUGCUGUACAGACCCAUAAUAAGAGACGGUCCCCAUCCUGAAGAGCUUACAGUGGCACGCAGAGGUCUCUCAUGGAGGAUCCAGAAGUGUGGACUGAAAGCUCACUCUUUUUAAAUGAAGAAACAAG